rnacentral:rRNA from 1 species
GUGCACGCUGGCGGUAGGCCUAACACCUGCAGGUCGCACGGCAGCACAGUAAGAGCUUGCUCUUACGGGUGGCGAGUGGCGGACGGGUGAGGAAUACAUCGGAAUCUACUUUUUCGUGGGGGAUAACGUAGGGAAACUUACGCUAAUACCGCAUACGACCUACGGGUGAAAGCAGGGGAUCUUCGGACCUUGCGCGAUUGAAUGAGCCGAUGUCGGAUUAGCUAGUUGGCGGGGUAAAGGCCCACCAAGGCGACGAUCCGUAGCUGGUCUGAGAGGAUGAUCAGCCACACUGGAACUGAGACACGGUCCAGACUCCUACGGGAGGCAGCAGUGGGGAAUAUUGGACAAUGGGCGCAAGCCUGAUCCAGCCAUACCGCGUGGGUGAAGAAGGCCUUCGGGUUGUAAAGCCCUUUUGUUGGGAAAGAAAAGCAGCAGGUUAAUACCCCGCUGUUCUGACGGUACCCAAAGAAUAAGCACCGGCUAACUUCGUG